rnacentral:misc_RNA from 1 species
GAUGAAGAACGUAGCGAAAUGCGAUAAGUAAUGUGAAUUGCAGAAUUCAGUGAAUCAUCGAAUCUUUGAACGCACAUUGCGCCCGCCAGUAUUCUGGCGGGCAUGCCUGUCCGAGCGUCAUUUCAACCCUCGAACCCCUCCGGGGGGUCGGCGUUGGGGAUCGGCCCUUUCACCGGGUGCCGUCCCCCAAAUACAGUGGCGGUCUCGCCGCAGCCUCUCAUGCGCAGUAGUUUGCACACUCGCACCGGGAGCGCGGCGCGUCCACGUCCGUAAAACACCCCAAACUUCUGAAAUGUUGACCUCGGAUCAGGUAGGAAUACCCGCUGAACUUAAGCAUAUCAAUAAGCGGAGGAA